rnacentral:rRNA from 1 species
UUUUAACGAGAGUUUGAUCCUGGCUCAGGAUGAACGCUGGCGGCGUGCCUAACACAUGCAAGUCGAACGAAGCACUUUCUUUAGAUUCUUCGGAUGAAGAAGACUGUGACUGAGUGGCGGACGGGUGAGUAA